rnacentral:tRNA from 1 species
UCCGGAGUAGCUCAGUUGGUAGAGCAGGUGGCUGUUAACCACUUUGUCGGGAGUUCAAGUCUCUCCUCCGGAGCCA